rnacentral:tRNA from 1 species
GCGGUCGUGGCGGAACUGGCAGACGCGCAGGACUUAGGAUCCUGUACCGCAAGGUGUGGGGGUUCAAGUCCCUCCGACCGCA